rnacentral:rRNA from 1 species
UACGAAGGGGGCGAGCGUUGUUCGGAAUUACUGGGCGUAAAGGGCGCGCAGGCGGCCUUAGAAGUCAGAUGUGAAAGCCCCGGGCUCAACCUGGGAAUGGCAUUUGAUACUCUGAGGCUGGAGUACGGGAGAGGAGAGUGGAAUUCCCAGUGUAGAGGUGAAAUUCGUAGAUAUUGGGAAGAACACCGGUGGCGAAGGCGGCUCUCUGGACCGUAACUGACGCUGAGGCGCGAAAGCGUGGGGAGCAAACAGA